rnacentral:rRNA from 1 species
UACGAAGGGGGCUAGCGUUGUUCGGAAUUACUGGGCGUAAAGCGCACGUAGGCGGAUUGUUAAGUUAGGGGUGAAAUCCCAGGGCUCAACCCUGGAACUGCCUUUAAUACUGGCAAUCUCGAGUCCGAGAGAGGUGAGUGGAAUUCCGAGUGUAGAGGUGAAAUUCGUAGAUAUUCGGAGGAACACCAGUGGCGAAGGCGGCUCACUGGCUCGGUACUGACGCUGAGGUGCGAAAGCUAGGGGAGCAAACGGG